UUUUUGGCCGCCACCCUCAUCCUCAUCCGCCACUUUCCUCCCCUUCUCUCUCUCUCUCUCUCUCUCUCUCUCUCUCUCGACUCUUAUUAAAUUUUUGUUCAUUGAAUUUGGCAAAAGUGUUUGUUUUUUAAUUUCUCUGGCACAAAAUACAUAUUGGGUCCAUUUCUUCUCUUAUCUCUCUGUUGAAAUUGAGGAGCAUCGAUACUUAUGGUCGUCUUCUACCAUAACGCAGCAAUUUCAUUUCCCAAAUUGUAGGGUUUCGUAUUUUUCACAUUUAGUUUCCAUUCUUUUGCAAUAUUUGAUGGGUGAGUUGGAAGAGAUUGGAGCUGAUAUCAGGAGUCCUAAAUUUUCCGUGCUUGGUCAGUGAGAAUAUUAGAUGAAUACUGCCCUUCCCCAUCUCCUUCUCAUAUAGAGACGGAUUAUACGUUCUUGGUAACAAGGUGGACUAUUGUUUAUUGAAUGCUAGAGCCCUGUCUGAUGUUUGCUGAUUCAUUGGUUGACAGUUCCGAUAUUGAAGUCGACGACAUCAGGUGUGACAACAUUGCAGAGAAAGAUGUUAGUGAUGAAGAAAUUGAAGCUGAAGAGUUGGAGAAGAGAAUGUGGAAGGAUCGAAUCAAGCUCCAAAGGAUUAAGGAAAGACAGAAGUUUGCAGCCCAACAAGCUGCAGAGAAGCAAAAGCCCAAGCAGACCUCUGAUCAGGCACGGAGGAAGAAAAUGUCAAGAGCCCAAGAUGGAAUUCUCAAGUAUAUGUUGAAACUAAUGGAAGUGUGCAAAGCACGUGGAUUUGUGUAUGGGAUCAUUCCUGAGAAGGGUAAGCCGGUAAGUGGUUCAUCUGAUAAUAUAAGAGCUUGGUGGAAAGAAAAGGUAAAGUUUGAUAAGAAUGGGCCAGCAGCCAUAGCAAAAUAUGAAGCUGAGUGUUUGGCCAUGGUUGAGGCAGAUAAAAAUCGAAAUGGAAACUCCCAAAGUAUUCUUCAAGACCUGCAAGAUGCAACUUUGGGAUCUCUCUUGUCUUCUUUAAUGCAGCAUUGUGAUCCCCCUCAAAGGAAGUAUCCUUUAGAGAAAGGAGUUCCACCACCUUGGUGGCCAACUGGGAACGAAGAAUGGUGGUUAAAGUUAGGACUACCCCAAGGUCAGAGUCCUCCUUAUAAGAAACCUCAUGAUUUAAAGAAGAUGUGGAAAGUUGGGGUAUUAUCAGCUGUAAUAAAGCACAUGUCACCUGAUAUUGCAAAAAUCCGGAGGCAUGUCCGCCAGUCAAAAUGCUUACAGGAUAAAAUGACCGCAAAGGAGAGUGCAAUUUGGUUGAGUGUCUUGAGUCGAGAGGAAUCCCUCAUUCAACAGCCUAGCAGUGAUAAUGGCACUUCUGGUAUAACUGAAACGCCUCAAGGUGGACAUGGUGAAAAGAAGCGACCUGCCAUUAGCAGUGACAGUGAUUAUGAUGUUGAUGCUACUGAUGAUGGUAUUGGUUCUGUUUCAUCAAAAGAUAACAGGAGAAAUACAGCAAUGGAAGUGGAGCCACCAAGCAGUGUUCAAAAUGACAAUCUCCAAGCUGUCGAAGAUAAGGAUCAAGGGGAAAAGCAACCAAGGCGAAAGAGGCUUCGUGGGAAAUCUAGCCAUGCUGAUCAACAGUCUGGACCAUCUCUUAGUAAGCGUUCAUUUGCUGAGGAGCCUAUAAAUACUGUGCCUGAUAUAAACACUACUGAUUUAUCAGCUGUGAAAUAUCAGAUUAAUGGCACUGAACAGGAAAAUGAUACAACUACUGGUUUGAGGCCUUGGAAGAAAGGCCUUGAAAGUGGAUCCAGUCUACCACCAUCUGAAUUUAACUACUUUCCUGCCGUUCCCCCUGCCAAUGUUGAUUCUAUGGGGAGCAUGCAUGCAGAUGGAAGCUCCAUGUUUUUCUCAGACUUACAAAAUUCAGGGUUGCAUCAUGGAUCUGCUUACGAUAUCUAUAAUCCAUCUGUUGACUAUGGGCCUACUCAUGAUGCACAGCGGUCUCAUGUCACAAUGGAUGCACCACAGAUCAGAUCACAAGAUUAUGGAGGCCACGUAUCAGCUUUACAUAAGGAUGGAAAUGAGAUCACUGUAGGAGAGUUGCAUCAUUUGAUUAAGGAUAGACCUUUUGGGUCUCCGCCUCCACUACAUAGCUUGUCGUUAGAAUUCGGAGGACUCCCCAGUCCAUAUAAUUUUGAAAUUGAUGAAUUCUUACUUGAUGAUGAGUUGAUCCAAUGCUUUGGUGCAUAGUUUUCACUAUUGAUAUUUCAGAUUUAUAGUGGACUGCUGAAAAUGCAGCAACUGGAUAUGCUGACAUUGUGGUUGUCAAUAUAUAAGUACAUGUGCAUUUCUAGACUUUGCCUGGAGUUAUCCUCAGAGAAGGACAAUUGAGGAAUUGAUGUAAAUGAAAUGAUCUGUUGGACUGGAUAAAUGACAAAAUUAUGAUAUUUCUCAUUAGCUUUGGUCAAGAUGAGUUUUUUAGUUGGUA